CCUACGGGAGGCAGCAGUGAGGAAUAUUGGUCAAUGGGCGCGAGCCUGAACCAGCCAAGUAGCGUGAAGGAUGACUGCCCUACGGGUUGUAAACUUCUUUUAUAAAGGAAUAAAGUUAGGCACGUGUGCCUUUUUGUAUGUACUUUAUGAAUAAGGAUCGGCUAACUCCGUGCCAGCAGCCGCGGUAAUACGGAGGAUCCAAGCGUUAUCCGGAUUUAUUGGGUUUAAAGGGAGCGUAGGUGGGUUGUUAAGUCAGUUGUGAAAGUUUGGGGCUUAACCGUAAAAUUGCAAUUGAUACUGGCAGUCUUGAGUACAGUUGAGGUAGGCGGAAUGCAUGGUGUAGCGGUGAAAUGCUUAGAUAUCACGAAGAACACCGAUUGCGAAGGCAGCUUACUAAUCUGCCACUGACAUUGAUGCUCGAAAGUGUGGGUAGCAAACAGGAUUAGAUACCCUAGUAGUC
rnacentral:rRNA from 1 species